GAGACUCUGUGCGCGUGCAUAUCAAUAAGCGGAGGAAAAGAAACUAACAAGGAUUCCCUUAGUAACGGCGAGUGAAGCGGGAAGAGCUCAAAUUUGAAAUCUUCAAGGUUCUACCUUGACGAAUUGUAGUUUAAAGAAGUGUUUUCUGUUAGAUGAGUAGCAAAAGUUCCUUGGAAUGGGACAUCAUAGAGGGUGAGAAUCCCGUAUUUGGUUAUUCAUUCUAGCUUUGUGAUACACUUUCAAAGAGUCGGAUUGUUUGGGAAUGCAGUCCAAAAUGGGUGGUAAAUUUCAUCUAAAGCUAAAUAUUGGCGAGAGACCGAUAGCGAACAAGUACCGUGAGGGAAAGAUGAAAAGAACUUUGAAAGGAGAGUUAAACAGUACGUGAAAUUGUCAAAAGGGAAGCGUUUGACACCAGUGUUGUUUUUCCGAAAAUCAAUUACGAAUGGCUUGAUUUUGUGUUGUAUUGACCUUAUCAGCUUUCUUCACUUUUUUCGAGUCUUUCUUAAUGCACUUUUCGGUUAACAAGUCAACAUCAAUUUCUUUUGUUGUAAAAGAGUAUUCGGAAGGUGGCUUUCUUUUCGGAGAAAGUGUUUAUAGCCCUAUACUUCUACAAUCGGAGAGAUUGAGGUCCGCAGCGCAGAUCCUUCGGGGUUAGAUACAUUUGUGCUAAGUUGUAGCUUUUCAUAGACAACUUGUUGACUAUGUUUAGUCAUGCGGCUUACUCGCUUGUGCUAUUUUACCUACGCUUAGGAUGUUGACUGAUAUGUAGUCGUA
rnacentral:rRNA from 1 species